UACGUAGGUGGCGAGCGUUGUCCGGAAUUACUGGGUGUAAAGGGCGUGUAGGCGGGUCUGCAAGUCGGAUGUGAAAUUCCCGGGCUCAACCCGGGCGCUGCAACCGAAACUGUGGAUCUUGAGUACCGGAGAGGAAAGUGGAAUUCCCAGUGUAGCGGUAAAAUGCGUAGAGAUUGGGAGGAACACCAGUGGCGAAGGCGACUUUCUGGACGGUAACUGACGCUGAGGCGCGAAAGCGUGGGGAGCAAACAGGAUUAGAUACCCUGGUAGUCCACGCCGUAAACGAUGGAUACUAGGUGUAGGGGGUAUCGACCCCCCCUGUGCCGGAGCUAACACAAUAAGUAUCCCACCUGGGGAGUACGGCCGCAAGGUUGAA
rnacentral:rRNA from 1 species